GGUGACCCAUCCCGGGACUGGGUAGAAUAGCUACAUGGGUGGGUUGUUUUUGGGUUUCGGCCAUGGAUGGAACACAGAAAUGGAAGGAAGCUAAGGUUUUGGGGGGUAAUUAUGGUUGAAUUGUUACAAGUGAUAGAGAAGAUAGUGGGUGGUUUAUAUAGAGGUUUGAAUGUUAAUUGAGAAGAUGGGCGAAAGCAGUGGAAUUAUGUGAGGAUUAUAUUAUUUUUUUAUUUUAAAUUAAUUGUUCAAGAAUGAGAGGCAAAUUUUGGAAAUGGGACAUUCAUUUUCUAGUGGAUGGGUGUGGUUGGGUGAUGUCAGUUCCAACGCAAGGCUUAGGUUAUCAAACCCGUGGACCUAGUUUCUUGUUUGGAUCCAUUUUUCUUUCUGCGCAUUAUUGAUCGGGUAAUUAUUACAAUAACCAAUGAAUGGUACAGGAGUAAUUUCACUGCUGUAAAAUUUUAAAUUUUAAUCAGAAUUAAAUAAAAAAAUUAUUAUUAUUAUACUAAAUAACUGAUUAGCAAAAUUUUGCUUAAAUUCAACCAUUUAGAAGAAUAUGGAAUUUCUAUGGCCGAUUUGCCCUUCAAGGCCGG
rnacentral:misc_RNA from 1 species